ACGAACGCUGGCGGCGUGCUUAACACAUGCAAGUCGAACGGUGAUCUCGGUGCUUGCACCGGGUGAUCAGUGGCGAACGGGUGAGUAACACGUGAGUAACCUGCCCCCGACUCUGGGAUAACCCCGGGAAAUCGGAGCUAAUACCGGAUACGAGACGCACACGCAUGUGUAGCGUCUGGAAAGAAUUUCGGUCGGGGAUGGACUCGCGGCCUAUCAGCUAGUUGGUGGGGUAACGGCCCACCAAGGCGACGACGGGUAGCCGGCCUGAGAGGGCGACCGGCCACACUGGGACUGAGACACGGCCCAGACUCCUACGGGAGGCAGCAGUGGGGAAUAUUGCACAAUGGGCGAAAGCCUGAUGCAGCGACGCCGCGUGGGGGAUGAAGGCCUUCGGGUUGUAAACCCCUUUCAGCAGGGAAGAAGCGAAAGUGACGGUACCUGCAGAAGAAGCGCCGGCUAACUACGU
rnacentral:rRNA from 1 species